UCCUGCCACCCCUCUCCUUUCUCCGUGUCCCUGCCGCACCCGCAGGCCCUUCUCCUGCUGCGGGUGCAAGGACGCUGAUGUCCACCGCAGCGCAGCUCCUGCCACCCCUCUCCUUUCUCCACGUCCCCGCCGCAGGCUCAAGGAGAAAAGGAGCUUCAGCACCUCUUCUCUGCUGUGUGAACUUCCCUGGACACUUUCUCCUCUCUAAGGGUGCAGUCACUCCGACAAUUGACUUAACAUCUGCUGCAACCAGGAUUGGGAACUUUGUGGGAGAAGAAAUAAGCAAGGCUGCUCUGGCUGACGUCUGUCCGGCUAGCAAAACAGAGGGAGCUGCCAAAGAAAACAGUCCGAGGCAUGAAAGUUAACAGCUAGCAAUAACUGUGGUGCGAAACAUUCCCAUGAAAUCCAGACAUCAAGGAUGCUGCUUGGAAUAGCUUGAAUGUCCUGCAUUCUUUUCCAGUGAAAGCAGAGUAAUACACCAGCAGCGUGGGAGACGGCAGGCAAGGAAGAACACAUGAGCCCCAGAGAAGGCUCCAUCAAUUUUCUCUCUGUGGCUGGCUGAAGGAAGCUUAAGUGUACGUUGCAGUGGCUCCCGACACCAGCCGCUGCCACGCGCCACGCGCAUCUAACUUAAAACACGGUACCUGAAAAACUAAACCAAAAA